rnacentral:rRNA from 1 species
GCCUACGGGGCGCAGCAGUAGGGAAUCUUCCACAAUGGGCGAAAGCCUGAUGGAGCAACGCCGCGUGGGUGAAGAAGGUCUUCGGAUCGUAAAACCCUGUUGUUAGAGAAGAAAGUGCGUGAGAGUAACUGUUCACGUUUCGACGGUAUCUAACCAGAAAGCCACAGCUAACUACGUGCCAGCAGCCGCGGUAAUACGUAGGUGGCAAGCGUUAUCCGGAUUUAUUGGGCGUAAAGGGAACGCAGGCGGUCUUUUAAGUCUGAUGUGAAAGCCUUCGGCUUAACCGGAGUAGAGCAUUGGAAACU